AGUCAAGUAAGGAAGGGCGCACGGUGGAUGCCUUGGCACGGACAGGCGAAGAAGGGCGCGAUAAGCUGCGAAAAGCUUCGGGGAGCCGCACGUAGGCGUUGAUCCGGAGGUACCCGAAUGGGGAAACCCGGCGGGGGUCAUGCCCCGUCACCCGUGGCUGAAUUCAAUAGGCCAUGAGGAGCCAACCGGGAGAACUGAAACAUCUAAGUAUCCCGAGGAAAAGAAAUCAAACGAGACUCCCCUAGUAGCGGCGAGCGAACGGGGAAGAGCCCAAACCGGUGAUGAGCCGGGGUUGUAGGGCCCAGGUGGGACUUGAGUGUUCCGCCGGUAGCGAUUCGUCUAGCGGAAGCGUGUUGGAACGCACUGCCGGAGAGGGUGAGAGCCCCGUAUGCGAAAGGCGAAGCGCGCUGGUGACCUGGGUACCUGAGUACGGCGGGACACGAGGAAUCCCGUCGGAAUCUGGGGGGACCACCCUCCAAGGCUACAUACUCGUCCGUGACCGAUAGCGAACCAGUACCGUGAGGGAAAGGUGAAAAGAACGCCUAGCGGCGAGUGAAAAGAUCCUGAAACCGUGUGCCUACAAGCGGUAGGAGGGAGGGUAUUCGCGUAAGCGGGUACGGCUCCUGACUGCGUGCCUUUUGCAUUAUGAUCCGGCGAGUUGCUCGUCGCGUGCGAGGUUAAGGUGUUCAGCACCGGAGCCGGAGCGAAAGCGAGUCUGAAGAGGGCGAACAUAAGUACGCGGCGGCAGACCCGAAACCGAAGCGAUCUACCCAUGGCCAGGAUGAAGCUCGGGUAACACCGAGUGGAGGUCCGAACCCGUUCAUGUUGAAAAAUGUUGGGAUGAGCUGUGGGUAGGGGUGAAAGGCCAAUCAAGCUCGGAGAUAGCUGGUUCUCCCCGAAAACUAUUGAGGUAGUGCCUGGGAGCGUGUGUCGCGGAGGUAGAGCACUGGAAGGACGCGGGGCCCCACCGGGUUACCAACUCCUACCAAACUCCGAAUGCCGUAGACAUGGACUCCUGGAGACAGCAUGCGUGCGAUAAUGUGCGUAUACGAGAGGGAAAGAACCCAGACCGUCGGCUAAGGCCCCCAAGUGCGGGCUCAGUGAGAAAGGAUGUGGAUGUGCACUGACAACUGGGAGGUUGGCUUAGAAGCAGCCAUUCCUUGAAAGAGUGCGUAAUAGCUCACCAGUCAAGUGCGUCUGCGCCGAUAAUGGUCGGGACUUUUAAGUCCGCCGCCGAAGCCACGGAU
rnacentral:rRNA from 1 species